rnacentral:rRNA from 1 species
AUGAACGCUGGCGGCGUGGAUAAGGCAUGCAAGUCGAACGGACUUUAUUUUUCCCGAGAUGAGAUUAUAUCAAGUCAAAGGUCGUUUAAAGUUAGUGGCGAACGAGGUAGUAAUACGCAGGAACUUCCCCCAAAGUCGCGAAUAAUCUGGAGAAAUCCAGACUAAUACGCGAUGGUCUCGCAAGAGUAAAGAUUUUUCGCUUUGGGAAAGGCCUGUGCGGUAUCAGCUAGUUGGUAGUGUAAAAGACUACCAAGGCUAUGACGCCUAGGGGGAGUGAGAGCUUGGCCCCCACCGAUGGUACUGAGACACGGACCAUACACCUACGGGUGGCUGCAGUCGAGAAUCUUCCACAAUGGACGAAAGUCUGAUGGAGCGACGCCGCGUGAUUGAUGAAGUCCCUCUGGGACGUAAAGAUCUUUUAUGAGGGAAGAAGUUUAUUGACUGUACCUCAUGAAUAAGAGGCUCCUAAUCUCGU